GAUCAUGGCUCAGGAUAAACGCUGGCGGCGCACAUAAGACAUGCAAGUCGAACGGAAGUCGUUGUAAUGAAAUAGAAACGGACAGAGAACUUGUUCGAAGAAAGUAGAAGUAGACUUACAACAAUGGCUUUAGUGGCGGACUGGUGAGUAACGCGUAAGGAACCUGCCUUCUAGAGGGGAAUAACAAUGAGAAAUCAUUGCUAAUACCGCAUAUGCCGAGAGAAUCACAUGGUACAAUACGGG
rnacentral:rRNA from 1 species